AAAUAGCCUACCAAUUUUUCAUCAUCCAUUGAACCUUUCGAUCAAAUUGGUAUAUGGCGUCUGAUUUGACGGAAACACCCUCUGAAGUGACAUCAACGAACAACUGAAUCGCUGGAAUUAAGAGAUAAGACACAAGAUGAUAUUGAAGUAACGUCCCGCCGAAAAUAUUCGAAGCGAGCUGACAAGCAUUUUCCGGCACCCCCUCUCUGAUCGCCUGCUCUGAAAUUAUGUCACUAGCUGCAGUCAUUUGAUUGCAGUCUUGCCGUUGCCUUGUCAGAGUCUUGCCAUUGCCUUGCCAACUUAUUGUCGACUCUUGAUGAUCUCUCUAUUUAGCACACGACAAGAUGGUCAAAAUAGAGGACUGGAAGAGAACAGCAUAAGUGGCACAAAGAAAUUCUAUCCUUGUCCAAAGGCCAGUAUCUGCCCAUGAAUGAGAAAGGUCUCACCUUGGAAUAAAAAAAGACCGAUGUGAUGUUGAGAAGCGGAAAUUCAAAAUCUGAAGAGGAACGACAUUUUAAUGGAGAUGAAGCUAACAAACAGUUGGAGGGAGGCAUUGAAAGUAUCAAGGGGCUUCCGGAUCAAUGAAUCGUGUGACUGUACAUUUUCACCGUUUUCCUGUUUUACUGAACUUUAUUAAAGUAAAAAAUGUUCCUAAAAUUGUA